rnacentral:lncRNA from 1 species
UUGUUUCUCCUGCAACUUAUCAUAUUGUUGAACUGAUCUCUAGUGCGUUAUGAGAUGCAGAGCGGUGUGCCCUGUAGUUUGUGCAAUAAAUGCAUAGGAUUGGAAGUUUUAUUGUGGUGGAAGUAACAGCAUAAUGUGUUUCUAUGCUUCCUACUAAUUCCUGUCCUUGGAGCACUUGGUAUACUGCAAUCUAUCAACACAUAACAAUAACUUUGCCAUAAUAAUAAUUUGUCGUUUCCCACUAUAGCUCAUUCCAGGUUCUGGUGUACAUUUUCUAUUUUAUGUACCUGUGAUCUUUAUCAUUGGUCAUUCUGUUUAUAACAAUUGUUGUUAUUUCUCAUGUUUACUAAAACUAGAUGAUUGAUAACUAUCAG